rnacentral:rRNA from 1 species
GAUGAACGCUGGCGGCGUGCCUAACACAUGCAAGUCGAGCGAACGGACGAGAAGCUUGCUUCUCUGAUGUUAGCGGCGGACGGGUGAGUAACACGUGGAUAACCUCCCUAUAAGACUGGGAUAACUUCGAGAAACCGGGGCUAAUACCGGAUGAUAUUUUGAACCGCAUGGUUCAAAAGUGAAAGACGGUCUUGCUGUCACUUAUAGAUGGAUCCGAGCUGCAUUAGCUAGUUGGUAAGGUAACGGCUUACCACGGCAACGAUGCAUAGCCGACCUGAGAGGGUGAUCGGCCACGCUGGAACUGAGACACGGUCCAGACUCCGACGGGGGGAAGCAGUAGGGAAUCUCCCGCAAUGGGCGAAAGCCUGACGCAGCAACGCCGCGUGAGUUAUGAGGGUCUUGGGAUCGUGAAACUCUGUUAUUAGGGAAGAACAUAUGUGUAAGUAACUGUGCACAUCUUGACGGUACCUAAUCAGAAAGCCACGGCUAACUACGUG